rnacentral:rRNA from 1 species
GACGAACGCUGGCGGCGUGCCUAAUACAUGCAAGUAGAACGCUGAAGGAGGAGCUUGCUUCUCCGGAUGAGUUGCGAACGGGUGAGUAACGCGUAGGUAACCUGCCUGGUAGCGAGGGAUAACUAUUGGAAACGAUAGCUAAUACCGCAUAACAGUAGAUGUUGCAUGACAUUUGCUUAAAAGGUGCAAUUGCAUCACUACCAGAUGGACCUGCGUUGUAUUAGCUAGUUGGUGAGGUAACGGCUCACCAAGGCGACGAUACAUAGCCGACCUGAGAGGGUGAUCGGCCACACUGGGACUGAGACACGGCCCAGACUCCUACGGGAGGCAGCAGUAGGGAAUCUUCGGCAAUGGACGGAAGUCUGACCGAGCAACGCCGCGUGAGUGAAGAAGGUUUUCGGAUCGUAAAGCUCUGUUGUAAGAGAAGAACGAGUGUGAGAGUGGAAAGUUCACACUGUGACGGUAUCUUACCAGAAAGGGACGGCUAACUACGUG